rnacentral:rRNA from 1 species
GUGGGGAAUCUUGCGCAAUGGGCGAAAGCCUGACGCAGCAACGCCGCGUGUGUGAUGAAGGUCUUCGGAUCGUAAAGCACUGUCGGGAGGGACGAAUAAGGGCCAGGUGAACAAUCUGGUCCGAUGACGGUACCUCCAAAGGAAGCACCGGCUAACUCUGUGCCAGCAGCCGCGGUAAUACAGAGGGUGCAAGCGUUGUUCGGAAUUAUUGGGCGUAAAGCGCGUGUAGGCGGUCUCACAAGUCGGAUGUGAAAGCCCUCGGCUUAACCGAGGAAGUGCGUUCGAAACUACGAGACUUGAGUGCCGGAGAGGGUGGCGGAAUUCCCGGUGUAGAGGUGAAAUUCGUAGAUAUCGGGAGGAACACCAGUGGCGAAGGCGGCCACCUGGACGGCAACUGACGCUGAGACGCGAAAGCGUGGGGAGCAAACAGGAUUAGAUACCCGAGUAGUCC